CCAGUUGCAACGAGUGCAUAUGUGUAUACAUUGAUCUUUAUACAAUCUUGAAGAAGUAUUCAUCAACUGUUGCCACAAUAUUCACUGGCAUAACAUCUGCUGCAUUAUUUGGCCACUCUGACUAUAAACUUUAUGUUAGGAAUUACAGUUGUUUUCAUCUCAAUGCACCAGGUACUACAAGAAAGAGAAAUAUAUUUUAAUGAUUACCAUGUUAUUUUCAGGCUUACCUUGUGUUUCAUUUUCCCCCCCUUUGUAGUUCUUUUCUCCUCUUUCAAAGGUCAAAGAUGAACAGCAAAAUGGUGUGGUGGAACUAAAGGAUGUUCAGGAUAACCACAGAAUAUUCUUUAAUAUGUAAAAUUUAUGAGUACAAAAGCCAUAUAUAAGCUUCAUGGACAACAUAACAAUGGGAUUUGGAAUUGGCCUAUCUGGUCGUGGUCGCUACUAGCUUAUCACUGAGAGGUCUGCUUGCUAUGCCAGAAAAUGGGAUUGGCUUGUUUCCAGAUGUGGGCUUUUGCAUAUAUAGCAGCACGAACUCUAGGAAGAGGAUCAGUUGGU